CAGAGAAGUGCUUUAGCAAUAAAGAACCCGGUGACAGGUGCUGCAUGGCUGUCGUCAGCUCGUGUCGUGAGAUGUUGGGUUAAGUCCCGCAACGAGCGCAACCCUCGCCUUUAGUUGCCAGCAUUCAGUUGGGCACUCUAGCGAGACUGCCGGUAAUAAACCGGAGGAAGGUGGGAUGACGUCAAAUCAUCAUGCCCCUUAUGACCUGGGCUACACACGUGCUACAAUGGUUGGUACAACGAGUUGCGAGUCGGUGACGGCGAGCUAAUCUCUUAAAGCCAAUCUCAGUUCGGAUUGUAGGCUGCAACUCGCCUACAUGAAGUCGGAAUCGCUAGUAAUCGCGGAUCAGCACGCCGCGGUGAAUACGUUCCCGGGCCUU
rnacentral:rRNA from 1 species